rnacentral:rRNA from 1 species
GUCUCAAAGAUUAAGCCAUGCAUGUCUAAGUAUAAGCACUUGUACUGUGAAACUGCGAAUGGCUCAUUAAAUCAGUUAUCGUUUAUUUGAUUGUACUUUACUACAUGGAUACCUGUGGUAAUUCUAGAGCUAAUACAUGCGAAAAGUCCCAACUUCUGGAAGGGAUGUAUUUAUUAGAUUAAAAACCAAUGCGAGUCUUUGGCUCGUUUUCUUGGUGAUUCAUGAUAACUUUUCGAAUCGCAGGGCCUAGAGCCGGCGAUAUUUCAUUCAAAUUUCUGCCCUAUCAACUGUCGAUGGUAAGGUAGUGGCUUACCAUGGUUAUAACGGGUGACGGAGAAUUAGGGUUCGAUUCCGGAGAGGGAGCCUGAGAAACGGCUACCACAUCUAAGGAAGGCAGCAGGCUCGAAAAUUACCCAAUCCCGACUCGGGGAGGUAGUGACAAGAAAUAACGAUACGGGGUCUUAAUAGGUCUCGCAAUUGGAAUGAGUACAAUUUAAAUCCUUUAACGAGGAUCAAUUGGAGGGCAAGUCUGGUG